GCCGCUUCUGGGUCCUCCCUUCUGCCUGCAAGACCCGGCCGCGGGGCGGGAGCCGCGACUCUGCUGCCCGGGUUCUGGGAGCGGACAGACAGGGAAGAGGCACUUCUAGCACCUGAAAAGGAACCCAGCCCAGCUACAAAAUGACAAUCUUCUCCUUUCCUGCUCUGCCUCUGGGUAUACUUAAACAAAUCCAUGAAUAAUCAGAUAUCAGAUUUGACAAGCCACCCAGUUGCAGAUGCUACCAUGAUGCCCACCUGACUUCCCUGCACAGAUGGCUUCACCAUUGGAUCCUGGAACCCCAUCUCUCUGGAGCCCUGUCCCACUAGGGAAAGAUAGAAACAGGCUGGGAGUAUGGAUCAACCUGUCAACACCUAUGUUCAGCAGAGAAGUAAUUACAGAAGCCAAACCUUCCACCUUCUGCACCCCAUAAUGAUCCUGGGUCCAUGCUCCCAGAGGGAUAAAGAAUAGGAAAGCUUUUAAAGGAAGGGGUGGUAGAAACUGUGUGGAGUCGUACCCAUCUUGUUUUAUGGUCUUGCUGAUAUUUUUAUUUUAUAAGUAAAUAAAUAAAUAAAAUUAAAAUCACUA